rnacentral:miRNA from 1 species
CUGCAAUCCAGGCCCUUUUAUUGC